UGAAAAUAUUGUUAAUUUCCUGAAUUUAACAGGAAAUUAUGAAGGUGGCAGUCACAUAGUACUAAUUUAAGGAGUCAUCUGUUAAACUGCUGAAAUCCCAUAUCUUAUGGUUGCUCUUACAGCUGAGUAGCAGAUAACUCCCGAACUUGUCCUUACAUGGAAUUGCCAAAAGGAUACCAAUAACCUAAUGUGGCAAACUCCCUUUUUUACCUGAGUUUGCCAAGAGCUCCUGGAGGAGCCUGCUUGCCAGCCUCCUGCCCAUAGACUAUGGACCCUGUGAAAAAUAAUGUAAAAAGUCUCUGUUCGUGCUAUUAGGAUUAUAUGGACAAACCAGAGACUACUCUGGAGCUUGUUUACACCUAUUAACACCUUGGAACGUUUCUCACUGCAGUGUUCUAAUUGUUCGUCUGGGUUGCCGCAAUUCCUAUGAACAACCACAAGGUGGCAGCCAUCUUGUUCGCAUGAACGCAGGCAGCGGUGUCUGGGCAUGAAUCUCCUGGAACUAAAAUCAGCUACAGAAACUCCAGAACACCGCUGGACUUCCAUCAUCGCCUGUGUUCAGUUUUAUACCAGCUGGAAGAGCACUGUUCGGUAGGAUCAUUCGUCUGG